GACGAACGCUGGCGGCGUGCCUAAUACAUGCAAGUAGAACGCUGAAGGAGGAGCUUGCUUCUCCGGAUGAGUUGCGAACGGGUGAGUAACGCGUAGGUAACCUGCCUGGUAGCGGGGGAUAACUAUUGGAAACGAUAGCUAAUACCGCAUAACAGUAGAUAUUGCAUGAUAUCUGCUUGAAAGGUGCAAUUGCAUCACUACCAGAUGGACCUGCGUUGUAUUAGCUAGUUGGUGAGGUAACGGCUCACCAAGGCGACGAUACAUAGUCGACCUGAGAGGGUGAUCGGCCACACUGGGACUGAGACACGGCCCAGACUCCUACGGGAGGCAGCAGUAGGGAAUCUUCGGCAAUGGACGGAAGUCCGACCGAGCAACGCCGCGUGAGUGAAGAAGGUUUUCGGAUCGUAAAGCUCUGUUGUAAGAGAAGAACGAGUGUGAGAGUGGAAAGUUCACACUGUGACGGUAUCUUACCAGAAAGGGACGGCUAACUACGUG
rnacentral:rRNA from 1 species